GGUAAAUGUCAUGGGAGCACCAGCGCAGGAACGAUGGAGACUGAAUUUACAAGUAAAGCAACAGUAUGUUGCACCGUUUUCAUGACCACAAGCUCUGCAUUUGGACUUUGGCUGAUCGUUAUACGUAGCAAGUAUAAGGGGGUGAUUUGGGUGAAAAUGAUGUUGUAUCCUUCGGGGAAGAGGGAAACAACUCUCGUCGAUGAAGUAAUUGCAUAGCUGGCAAAUGUAACCGGAUAAAUCCUGAUUCGAACAUAUGCAGCAACUCCUGAUUGGCGUCUCAUUCGUUUGUUUGAUUGCUUUCAACGGAUGGCGGUGGCUGAAGUGUAUAACUUCCCCUAGCUUUUCGAGUUUCUGUUGUUGGUCAGGUAAGCUUUUUCGGAGGAGCAACGAUUUCUGUACUUCAGAUAGGAAACUUUGAUCUCCUAUAACUCCAAGUUCUUCUUCAGCAGCACACUCGAAAUGACAGAUGUAAUCAAACUCGCGAUUAUAGAAAAGCCAAGCGGAUUGUCUAUUCAUAACUUGGUUACAAAU
rnacentral:misc_RNA from 1 species